GGCCCAGUGGUUAAGCGUUUGGUUGCUAACCAAAAGACUGGUGGUUCGAACCCACC
rnacentral:tRNA from 1 species